rnacentral:tRNA from 708 species
GCGCCCGUAGCUCAGCUGGAUAGAGCACCAGACUACGAAUCUGGGGGUCAGGAGUUCGAAUCUCUUCGGGCGCGCCA